rnacentral:ribozyme from 1 species
UAUGUUGGUGGGUCUGUGAAUGGGGUAGGAUCCGACGCCUCCUGAAGGCUACAUAGGCUCUCCUACCCAACUC